rnacentral:rRNA from 1 species
UACGUAGGGUGCGAGCGUUGUCCGGAAUUACUGGGCGUAAAGGGUCUGUAGGUGGCCAACUAAGUCAGACGUGAAAUCCCUCAGCUUAACUGGGGAACUGCGUCUGAUACUGGAUGGCUCGAGUGUGGGAGAGGAAUGCGGAAUUCCAGGUGUAGCGGUGAAAUGCGUAGAUAUCUGGAGGAACACCGGUGGCGAAGGCGGCAUUCUGGACCAUAACUGACACUGAGAGACGAAAGCCAGGGGAGCAAACGGG